rnacentral:lncRNA from 1 species
AAUAUGCCAAAAGACACCUCAAUCACAACUAUCAAAUAUACUUAAACAUACGCAUAAUUUAGCCAUUAAUCGACCAGACAUUUCUAACCUAAUUCAAUACCUAUCUUACCACAAUGACUACAUUCCUAAAUCAUAUUCAAACAUACCAAGUUGGUCAUUCAAACAUGGAUGAACCCCUUCUCAAAAUAACACACACCAAGUAGGCAUCAAAUGUACCAAGGUUACAUCAACCAAAAUGACAUAUACAUGCCAAACUCAUCAACUAACAUAAAACACAAGUCCACCUAUACAUGCCAUUAUAACGUUGAUGAAGACAUCAAAAUCUACCAUUAUAAUCAUUGGAUAGUGUGAUAGAUCUCCGACUAGCUUCCAAACUGAUCGAGCUUCUGAUAAUCUGUAAAGUAAGAGAAAGACAACCACAUAAGCCAUGAAUGCUUAGUAAGCUCAUAUAAAUUUUAAACAUAACAUUCCAUUUUUAAAUAUGAACUUUACAUGUCAGAAAUAAACCUAUACCAAUACUUCAAGAUUUAUAAAACUACAUAACUAUCAACUCACAAAUGAAUAGGUUCAUUAACAUCCCAAAUACUUUCUAUUUAUACCAAAAUAGAGUCUUAUAAGCUGAAUUACAUAAUCAUCAACCUUUUCUUAAAAUAGUGAAUCAUUUCAUUUACUUACUUACCAUUCCAUGUACUUAGCAUAAGCUUAAUUACGUAUCAAUUUAUGAAUCAAUAUAUCUAUUCAUGACAUAAGUAAAUUCACAUAUAUCAUAAGUAAAUUCCUUCUUUACAAGUAAGUACUUUAACUCAACAAUCCUUUUUAUUUCCAUAUCUCAUCUCACUCGUUUCAUUUGCAUAACUCACAAGACAUAAGCAUAAACAUCAACCAUAACCACAAGCUAGUGCACUUAAACAUAACUCUUUCACAUUUAACUAAUAACCAUUCUGUAAUUCAUCAUUCGUCUCAAACUUUCCUAUAAACAUGUCAUCUAGACAAGAUUAAAUCUAAAUGAAUGAAUUAAUCAUACCUGUUAUACAUUUACGAAGCACUUAUAGGAUUAGUAUUGAAAAUGAUUCAGCAUAUGCUUCCUUUAGUACAGUAAUUCAACCGAAACUGAUUUAUAUAUGUAUAGAAACAUAUACCUUUAACUGAAUAGUCAUCAAUAUAAUGAUACUAACAUAUGAUCAAGUAAUUCGUUGAACAUUGAACAUUUAACACUUACUAAUAUCUUGACUAUACAUUAGCCUUUAACAUUAAAAUAAUUUUAUAAAUUCCAUUCACAGUUAGCCCGACGAACUAGUAACUUAACUCGGAUACUCGGGUAACUACACCCAGAACACUUAGCCAUUGAAGCAGAUACUCAUUUAUCCUAUCAGACACAAUUACCAUGCUCUAAUGAAAACAUCAAACAUUCACAACCAUACUUGUCUCAAAGUCAUUGAGGACACUCCGGGACCCGAUGUUCCUUGGACCCGCAUCGAAAACAUGCUUCUGCCUUAUUCCAGCAAUUACCCGGAUGGUGCUUCUUACAGUGCUCAGAAAACAGAGUACUCGCCCCACUAUCGACACCCUCCGCAAAACCGCUAUUGCCACUCAAAUGCGUAAUAACAUGCUUCACAAACCGAGGCUCCAACCUCGAAAAGCUGCCAUCUCUUUCCUUCCCAUAAUCUACGCACUUAGCUUGAAGCAUUUCUCUAGUCCUCUCUAACCUAGCCUCAAACACUUUCUCUAGCACUUCCCUCACUACCCGAGUCAAUGUCUUAGUACCAAGCUCCGGGUUAUCGUUACCCGAAGUUGGCAGAAUUGCACUGACUUCUAACUGUUGAACAGACACACAUCCCAGAGAAGCAGACGACUCCUCGCGAUCUCACUUACCUUCAGAAUCCAUAUCCAUCUUGUCGCUAACUUAGAAUAUCUACAUUUUCAGAACACGAACACAAUUUAAAUACAAGAAUCUACAUUUCUAAUCUUACAAUUUUGAAUUUCCACCCGAACCAGCAUCGGAGUCUCAGACAAUUUGUUUUCGUAAAACAUUUCCAAAACACUAAUCAUUUCCACUUACUGUGGUAAAGUUUCUCAAAAUUUUUUUCAAAACAAGCACGUGCGCACACGGAUACGUAAAAAUAUAGGCUAAUUUUUUGCAAACCUGACUCUGAUACCACUAAAUGUAAUGCCUCAAAAUCAGGCGUAGAAGUUUAGACUGAAUUCCAGAGGCCAUAUUGACCACUGAAGUGAUCGAAGAAAAAUUUUACAAAAAAAGUUGUCAAAACGAAUCGAAAACAUUUAUUCGUUUAGUAUUCAUUCAGAAAAAUUACAACUAGGUUUAAUAUAAAAAUAAAAUUUACGUGCAAAAAAUUCCAAACAGAACUUGUACUACAAUUUUUUUAUAAAAUCAUGUAGAUCAAAACGGUAAAUCAAAAUGAAAACUAAAAAGAUAAUUGAUAAAUUAUUUUUGACCGAGACUGUCUGAGACCUCCGUAUACUGAGUCCAACUACAGAAAAUAGAAGUGUACUUGCAAGGGGAAACGCUAAAGGGGGUGAGAUACAUGAGCUCAAUGUGAGUUCAAAACGACUAAGAACAGGUUCUAGAAGAGAACCUCAAAGACUAAUAAUAGAUUCCAGAAGAGGACCCUAGAUGGCAAUUCAAUAGCAAAACACAUUUACAACUAUAUGCAGAAACAAAAACCAAACACGGAACCAACACCCCAACACACGUAAUAGUUAGAUCUCACCAAGUACAAUAGAAUACUCAACACAAGUGUUGUUCAGUCAAACAGAACACCCAAAUAGAUUAAGACUUUUUUGGCUUGAGGAGUUGAGGAGCAAGCACAAGGCCGAUCCAAGAUUAAGGCUUGGUAGUAGCUUAAAGAUUCUUCUUUAGAAAUAAUAGGGGGCAUUGUGGCACUUAUUGGGACUAGUUUUAAUUCAAUAUUUGGACAUUUAUUUUGGUGAUGUUAUAAUUACUUUAAUGCUUUAUUUUUAUGCUUAAUUGUUGUGUGGUUUAUGAUAUGUUGAUGAGAGUUCAUAUGGUGAUUAAAAACAUGGUGUUUGAAGCAUGUAUUUUAUACUAACAUAGUUUAGUUGUAGCUUGCCAAGGAGUGGAAUGCUUGUGGCUAAGGUAUGCACUUUGUGUGAUAUAAUUGAUUAUUUCUGAGUAUGGUUUGGGUAAUUAAAAUGAAUUUUUGACAAAAAAAAGAAGAGAAAACCUGUAGUGGUCUACACACGGGCGUGUGCCAUUAGACACGGGCGUGUUGGUGGUGGAACCCAGGCGUGUUGAAAUGGGACACGAACGUGUGGAAAUUUGACAGGGGCAUGUGCAAAUAUCGUCAAAUUUUUUCACAAUUUGAACACAGGAAUUUAAGGACACACGAGCACCGGACAUGCCCGUGUGGUUCUUUUGUGUCUGAUUUUUUAAAAUUUUGUAAUUUAGUAUCCUAGUUUGUUUAAAUUAUAAUUUAGUCCUAAAACUUGAUUACAUUAAUUGAAGCCUCUAAUGAUAGGGAAAAUCAAUAAUAUUUUUGAAUUAGACUUGGGAGUGUUAACAUUUGGUAGAAAUAUUCCUAUAUAAUAUUUUUGGUAAUGUAUUAAAAGUUUAUAAAAUUUAAGUUUUAGUUGUUAUUAGUAAAAUAAUAAUUAGACUUAGUAAAUGAACUCGAUUGAAGCUAAAAUUUUUAGGGCUUCUAUAAAUUGACUAAAAUAAGGUUGGUAAUCAUUUACAACUAAAAACGUGAUUGUUUAACUCUAAAUGGUAAAUUGACCAAAAUACUGGUAGCUAUCAUUACUUCCACCGAAUUAAAUCCUCUACUCGACUAAUAUUAACUAGUAAUAUAGGAUAAAUAGGGAAUCGUCCCACGAAGAAGCUCAUGUUAAAUCUAUUUGAGGACAAUUGAAAUUAAACUAAUGUAAACCACACACACGCAUGCAAGAAAAAAGGCGGGUGUUCUUGUUUCAAUGUUUAAAAAAACUAAAGUAAUGAACGAAAGUAAAUUCGAAUUAGGAAUGCUUGAAAUUAUUAAUCAAAUAGAGAGAAAGAAUGCUUAGUUAUUGACUCCUUAAUCCACCAAGCACAAGUCAUUUGCGACCUUAAAUCAUCCUAGUAGACUAAUUCGGCAGCAAGGCUGAAAAAUCACUUACAAAGUGACUUCCUAUCUCCAGUAAUUUUAAUCCAAUUAGAGAACGUUCAUAACUGAAUACCUACCCUCAAUUAUCUCUUGUCGACUAAUUGAAGGUGCAUUUAGUAUUUUAGAGACUUCACCUAGCAUUAACCAUAGAAAAUCCUCCAGUGGCCCCUAUAAAAUUAAAUCCGUAAUUGUUUUAAUUAGCUGCUGGCCAAUUAGUCAUCACCAACUCUAAGAAAAAUUAAGAAAUUCGAUUACUCAAUUUGUACUUAAAUGAUUGUAAGAAAAUUCCUAAAUUAAUUAGGUGAUCAAUCCAAUUGAUUUAGAAAAAUCCUUGAACGAUAAGAACAAACAGUCAAGGAAUACUGAAUUUGAAUUCAGAACAAAUUAUGUCUUUGAAUCAACUUGUACCUGGCUUCUUGAGUGUCUAACUAAGCAAGAGUAAUUCAGCCACUCAUAACAAGUAAAACAGAACAAGAAUUAAUUGAAAACAACAUGAAUUUCGAACCAAUCUUGUAUAGAAAUACUACUUUAAUUGUCGAGCUUUCUUCCUCUCAACUAGCUGAACUUUUGGACUGUUUUCCACCUGCUUGAUCGGCACUUGCUGGUUCAAUUAGAGGAAUUUCUGGAUUGAGUAACACGAACUAUCCUUGCAAAUCUUUUCUUCUUUGGCCUGCGGCCUCUUCUCCUCUUUUUAUGCAAUAAAAUUAGCCUCCAGUAAAUCAAAAAUCAAAAUCUGAUCUGAUCCCUUGAUUUUUGC